UACGUAGGGUGCAAGCGUUGUCCGGAAUUAUUGGGCGUAAAGAGCUCGUAGGCGGUUUGUUGCGUCGGCUGUGAAAUCCCGAGGCUCAACCUCGGGUCUGCAGUCGAUACGAGCAAACUAGAGUGUUGCAGGGGAGACUGGAAUUCCUGGUGUAGCGGUGAAAUGCGCAGAUAUCAGGAGGAACACCAAUGGGCGAAGGCAGCUCGCUGGGACGUGA
rnacentral:rRNA from 1 species